rnacentral:lncRNA from 1 species
CGGGGUCCCUGGGCUUUCCCCUAGGGUCCCAUCAGCUGCUUAUGUUCUACCUUCUGACGGAUCACAGGAGGAGCCUGCAGCGGAGGAGCCUCCUCCUCCUCAGCAUCAGACCUAAAGGGAGUGUCCUGCCUGAAGGACCGGCUCAAGGUCGCACUAACAGCUCUUGCUAACUCCUGUUCCAGGCUGUUUAUCUGGGCCUCCAAGUACCCUGCUUGCGCCUGGAGGUCUCUCACCCCCAGGUCCUGCUCAAAGCUGUGCACUUGGGCCCCCAGGCAUGCGGCUUGCUCCGGAAGGUCCCUUACCUGUGGCACUGAGCAUGUACUUCCUGCAGUGCAGUUAGAAAUGCCCAUCCGACUCUGCUUGCAAAGUGCAGAGAGGGAGACACCCUUACAAAUGGAGAUUUGCUGGAUAGAAAUGUGGCCAAAGAGUUCAAUAAAAGGUUCCUUUAUUUAUAGGCACAGCUGCUUAAAGACUGUUACCGGAAAGGAAUCCUGAUCCAGACGCCAAGAGAGGGUUCUUGGACUCAUGCAAGAAAGACUUCAGGACAGAGAUCAUGGAAGUUGGGCCCGACUGGAUGAGAUUUGGGGGUCUUUGGAAGUGGAGAAUGUGUUUGCCCUGGGGAAGAGAGGUGAUGUCUAGGAGACCUCUUCACUCAGGGCAAGCUCUAUGACCUGCUUUGACUCCAGAAUGUGGUAGAAGUGGCAUCACAUAAAUUGCAGAGCCUAGGCUUCAAGAGACCUUGCAACUUGCCUCUCACUGACUUGAAGUGCUCCCAUCAGAGCAUCUUGUAAGGAGCAGGUGGAGCAUGUGGACAAGCCAUCCCCACCAGCCCCUGAGACAUGUGAGAGAGGCCAGAACAGGCCAUCCGGACCCCACUGUGCUGGUGGAUGAGACAGCAGAAGGAAUAUCAACCUACCAACAGAAUCCUGAGAAAUGCUCACUCUUACUUCAAGCUGCUGCAUUUUGAUGUUAUGAAACCAUAAAUAACUUAUGAAGUCAUCUUUGCUGACUUAAAGUUUUCCAUAACUUUAUUAUAACAUAUCAAAAUUAUGAAAAAUGUGAAAAGUAGAAAACUGAUGAAUUUUGCUUCUUCAUAUGGUCUUUAAGAAUCUCAAAGGCACUGAAGUUUUUUAUCUUUUCUGUCUUAGAAUAAAAAACCUUGAAUGAAAAUCUGCUUCUUGGAAAAGCAGCAAGGUUUAUGCAGAGGCAAUCUGGUAUUUGUGUGCACUGGCAGCUGAUCAUACCCAGCAUGCACGCACUCUCAGGGCAGAGUCUGAUGCCCCACAUAAUGGGGCAUGGUAAGGACUCCCAUGUCCUUGAGAUAAAAUGAUAAGGAAAAUACACACUGCUAUUAGAAUAACAGGCCCAGCUUCUGCACAUUUUAAUUCCCAAAGUUUUCAUGAAAGACAAUGAUUUUUUGGUACCAUGUUUAACUCUACAAGAAUCAGUAGUGAAAACUAAAAAUGAUACUUUGUGAAAGUUCAUUAAUUUUGUUUUCAGCCAGUGGUGGCCUUGGUCAGAUAGAAUCAAAUCUAUGAUACUUUUUAUCAGAAAUGCUUAUACUGUGUACAAACCCAAAGUGAUGGCUUUCAAAGAUUGAAUUUGAUUAUUUUCUGUAUGGUGCAGAUGAAAAAUUACUACACAGGAGAAGGUGGGUUGGAGGUGCUCACGAGUAACCAGGAAACAGUCUGAAGUUUUUCUGAUACUUCUCCUUGGUCCAACCAAAUGUGAGAUAUAAACACAAACUUGGGAUUCCGUUCUUAUGUUUUGGUUGUUUCAGUCUUUACAGAUGUAUCGAAAGGCUGUCCAAAAAUGUCUGACUUCUGUAGUGUGCCUUCGUAGCACUAGAGGGUUCUGCAGCUGUGAAACUGAAGGCAUUGGCAAGAAGCCCUCCAUCUUCAAACCACUUUCUGCUAAGGUGUGGCUCUAUAAAACCACUAUGAGCUGGGCUUCACUGAGACUGAGUUGUUUCAGUAGGAUCUUCCGGAAAAACAUGUUCCCUCCUUUACCUGGGUUGUCAUUCUGAGAACAAUCACACCUCCAAUUUUGGCUUACUAAGCAAUAGCGUUUUAAUGAUUUUAAGCCAGGAUUUGCUCCUCCUUUCCUCAGUAUGAGAGCUUAACCACUGGAGGAACCAAGAAUUCAUGCUGGUUGGGUUCUGAUUCCACUUUAACUUACUGUAUAGCCUCAUCCCUUGUUUUUCUGGAGAUUCUCUUUUUCUGCUUCACUGAUUUAUAUUUACAUUAAAAUCAAAUGAGGCCAUGUUUCUGAAAUCACAUUGUCCCUACAUGGUCAUUACAAUGAGUCUGUAAUGUGACUGAAAGACAGCCAUGGAUACAGGUAGAGGAUAUCAGGCAAUUGAAUGCUCAUCAAGCAUUCAAUUCAGGGCAAAUGGCAUAAGGUAUGCAGUUGGCCUCUUCUGAUAUCUGUGUCUUAAUCCUUUCUUUAGCCUCUGUUUUCUGGACCAAGGCUAAGAUAUUUUCUGGGCACAGUGGCUCAUGCCUAUAAUCCCAGCACUCUGGGAGGCCAAGGUGGGAGGAUUUCUUCAGCCCAGGAGUUCGAGACCAGCCUGGGGAACAUAGGAGACCUCAUUCCUACAAAUAAUAAAAAAAAUUAGCCAGCUCUGGUGGCGUGUGCUUAUUGGUCUCAGCUACUUGGGAGGCUGAGGUGGGAGGACUGCUUGAGCCCAGAAGAUCGCAGCUGCAUUGAGCCAUGAUUGUGCCACUGAACCCUAGCCUGAGCAACAGAGCAAGGCCUUAUCUCAAAAAAAAAAAAAAAUUCUGAGCCUUCUAAUUUUUUUUUUCUUUAAUUAACUUUCUGUAAGCCCAGCAAGUAAAUAAAACACUUAUUUUAUGAAGCAUCUAGUUGCUUUUAGGGGAAGGGACAUCCUCCGCAUAGUAUCUAGGCCAGCUCACUUUCUUCUCCUUACUGUUGAUUUACUCUCUGCCAUUGAAUCUUCUGUGCCAAUGUUGGAUUAAUGUUUCCGGGCCCUACUUUCAUCAUGCUCCUCUGUAUUAUCACCUGUUUUGGUUUACAGCAAUGAUUUUUAAGGUAAGGCAUGGUGUGUCCAUCAUAGUCACAUGGGAACUUUUUCAAGCCAUAUUAAAAAUGUCCCCCAUUCAUCAUUCUGCCCCUGGAACAGUGUGUGCAGUUGGGACCUUCAAGUAAAUCUACUUUGUUGAAACCCACUGAUCAGCAUGGUGUAUUUCAUAACUCUUUGACUUACAUUCAAGAAAUUCCUUAACCUGAACUCCAUUUUACUCUUUUUUUCAUUCAUUCAAAUUAAGAAUAUUGCCUGAACAUGAAUUAUCUGCUAGACGUUUUUCUAGGUGCAGGAGGAGUAAGGAUGAACAUAACUAGCCAUAACUAUAGCUAUCAAUUGUGGAGUGUCUGUUAUGUGCCAGGCACUUUUAAGUGACCUACUCGAUUUACUUGCAUGACAAACUGUGAGGAAAAGCCCAAUAUUAUCCCCUAUUAACAGAUGAGGAAACUGAAGCACAAACAGCAUGAAUAGUUUGUUCCAGAUUGCAUCAUAAGAGGCACAGCCAGCUUUCCUACCAAAGCAGCCCUGGCCCAGAGUCCGUACUCCCUCCUCCCCUGCCUCUGCCUGGUGGAUAAGGUCACCCUGGCCUUGUGGAACUUAUGCUCUAGUGGGGACAAAUAGUUAUAGAGAAUGACCGAUGUUACUAAGAAAAUAAAAGCUGGUAAGAAAACAGAAGCACUGAGGAGGUGACUGAAGUGAGCAUUUAUAAUUUUAUGUUAUAUCCAUUGUAAAAUAUAAGUUUAGCUUUCUCAUACCAGAAGCAGGGCUCAGUCCACCCUUGACUCAGUUUCCAAUACUGUUCCCCAUCAGAAUGGCUCUUGCUGGUGGCCAGAAGUAAAACUUAGAAAUAUCUCUCUCAGAGACACCUAAGCAGGCUGGGCUCCCCGGUUUCCUGUUGCUUCCUUUAAAGAAGCUCUUCAGACAUCUGCACAAGAACUCAAAGUGACCACCUCUCAGCCCAGCAUGACCUACUGGAACUAAUGCCUGCUUGCUUUCAACCUACCAAUUAAAGCUCCCCAGGAAACCUGUUUAGAUAACACCCUGGACCCAAGAAAGGUGCUGGGCCAUGGGUUUCUUCUCUCUCUCCCUAUCUGUGCUCCCUGACCCCCUGUGUGUGUGUGGUCUCUAGGCUUGCCUUCUAUCCCUGAGGGUCUGUAAAUACUAAAAACACUUAAACUUUCAUAUUGUAGUUGUGUCUUUGAAGCCAGGUCCCCAUCCCGUACCUUGAGGGCAAGGCCUCCUGGAAGGGACCCAUGUAGGUGGAUCCCCUGCUGUCCAGGCCUCUUAGCUGCUGGGGUAGUGACCAGUUAAGUGGAUAGAGUUUCAUUCAAAACAAUAAUCAUUCAACUGUAUCUCACAUCAAACCUCUGCUCUAGUUUAUGUAUCUACUUUAUGUUCUUAGAAGACUGUGCAAACACAUUGUCUUUUUUGAGUACCUGUCUUGUCCUAGGUACUCUGCUUGGUACGGGGAGAGACGAAUCUUCUGUCUUCAGGGGCUUCCACUCCAGCAGGGAGAACAUGACUAAUAGUGACUGCCUGCUGCUGUAGGUAAUAAGUGGCUCCCACUAGGCCCUCCAUUUGGUGGCCCCCUGUCCCUCUCACUGGUGGAAGCCUACCUGUCCUCUAAGGACCAGCUCACUAAUGUCCUAGAUCCUCACGGACCAGAUUGCUUUUCUCAGAACUGAAGAGCACUUACUAAUGGCACCUCUUGUCAUAUGCCAUCCCAGGAUUUGAAUUUUUUUUUUUUUUCUGUCUUGUGGCCCAAAUAAAUCCUGAACUCCUCGAGGGCUGGGAGUGUAUCUAGCAGUUUCCUUAUACUGGACUAAUCAGAUGCUGACUAGGUAGCAGUGAGAAAAAUCUAGAAAUUCCCUUUUAGCCACAUCGACUUACACGAGGGGAUGUGUGUAAGGUACUAUAGCUCUUUAAACAAGAGGUGGUCUCGUUUGAAGGGUGGAUUGAUGUGGGUGUUCAAAUGAUGUCACAAGUGGCUGGUUUCUCUGUCUCCAUUUCUUUUUUUUUUGGCUCCAUUUCCAAAUUUCCCAGAUAGCACAGCAAGUUGGCCCCAGCAGCUCUAGACACUCCAUCUUCUCAGGGCAUAGCCAACACAAUAAAAUAUUUCAAGUUCCUGAAAGAUAGCUGAAAUAAGCCCUAGAAGUUUCUGGAUUGGGAGCAGAGCCAAACCUGCCAGCUCACAUAGAUGAGGGCAGGGAAUAGGGUGUCUCACGAUCACAGUGUCCUGCCUUCUGAUUUGCCUGGGACUGUCCUGUUUUGGCACCAAAAAUAUCUGCAUCCUAGGAAACCCUCAGGUCCUGGGCAAAUUCAGACAGUGACUUGCCCUAUCAGAAGCAAAGCAAGGUGCCAUUACCUGAGGUGGGCAAAUUCAGACAGUGACUUGCCCUAUCAGAAGCAAAGCAAGGUUGCCAUUACCUGAGGUGGGCAAAUGGAGGCUGGGUGGCCAGUGAGUGACCAAUAACCCCAGCAUUGGAGAGAGUGGAGCAGCCCUUCAAGAAGUUCCAACCUCUGCCCAGGACUGGUUUUACCAACUUCACUAGGCUUAGAAUCGUAGGAAGUCUAUUUGGGACUUGCGAGUCUCACGUAUUCCUGCCUAAAUGUUUAUGGAUACCUGUUUAGAGCUGAAAUCUUUUCAGCUCCCAUAAUAUGAGGGAAUUAGGUCUCAAAGAAGAUCAUGUAUUUUGAUCAGACCUUAUAGCUGAGCAGUGGAAAGAAAAAAAAUCAGUGUGAGAUCUCCCAGGGUUCCGCAGGAGUGGCUUCCUUAGUCCAACUGGCAGCCUAUCCUGGAAUAUUGCCUGGGAGAGAGGUUAGUUGCUUUUCCUGGUGCUAGGAACUGAAUGGUUUUACAUAUUGAUCAAUGAAAAUACUUAUUUGGCCUACAAUAGGUGCAAAAAUACUGCUAAUUACUAACAGUAUCUCUUCUUUGCUGCGUGCCAGACACUCCACUGGGCAUUAUGCAGUUAAUAUGUACCAUGAAUUUCCCGUGGUUAGCAAUGAUGUCAGGCAUAGAAAAGACAUGAAAUUAUGAUGUCAAAUGAAUAAACUGGAAAAAGGAAUUUCUUGAAUUUUCUCCAGCUGUCCUAAGAAUGUAUCUAUACUUUGAUCCUGGCCUACCUUUUCAACAUCUAAACUUUAUUCCCCCAAGCUUCUAGAUAUUCAAAGUUAAGUAUUAAAUAAAAUCAGUAAAUAUAUACAAGCUUGUUUGGCCAUUCUGAAUAAGGUUAUAUUUCCACCACACAAUCUCCAAAUUCUCUAGCAGAAGGGAUCAGUAUGUUAUAGAUACCCCCUUUCCUUCCCUCCCUGGCAAGCCACCACAUCUGUUAUGGGUACUCAAUGCAGUGGCUGCACCUGGGCCUCACUCAUUAAGCAGUUGUUGAUUGAGUGACUGAAUUGAAUGCCUGAUGAGCUCGCAAGUAAGAUUCAGACUGUGCCUGCAAACUAAUAGGAUCCCUCCGCUUUUUAUUCACUACUGCUGAGGUAGAUCUCAGGCCAGCCUGAAGUUUAGGUCUACUGAGAAAUAAUAAGCCUCAAAAAUCGAGCUUUGCUUCACCCAGUCUCCCAGUAAACACUAAGAAAUGUUCACAUUAUUUACACAUCCUAGACUGCCUGUCUUAUGGACCAAAUGUUUGUGUUCUCCCCGCAAUUUAUACAUUGGAAUCCUAACCCUCAAUGUAAUAGCAUUAGGUGCUGGGGUCUUUGGGAGGUGAUUGGCUAAUGGACCUGGAGCCCUCAUGAUGGGAUGAGUCCCCUUAUCAGAAGAGACCUGAGAAGGCUUGCUUCCUCUCCCUGUGCUCUUCAUGAUGUGAAGACACAAGAAGACAGCCAUCUGUGGGCCAGGAAGAGGUCCUCACUGGAACCCAACCAUGCUGGCACCCCAAUCUUGAAUUUCUAGCUUCAAGAACUUGGGAAAUAAAUGUAAGCCAGCCAGCUUAUGGAUUUGUUACAGCAGCCUAAGCUAAGUCAGAGUCUCUAGAACAGCUGGUCUGGGGCAGCGGUGAAGGGAGGUGGGUGGGCAUAUGACCCUGCCCUGCACAUGAAUGGCAAAGGCAACUGGAGAGCCUCUCCCUUUUGGUGAGAUCCCCAGUCCACAAGGGCAUGUUCAUCCAUAGCUUUACUUCCCGAAGCAAAUUCUGGUUCCUGGGGCCUGUGCCUCCAUAGAUGGCAUGAUCUGCAGCCUCCUGUGGUAAUUUACCCUCUUCCUAAAUUUCUGAGUCUUCACAUUUAAGCAAUCCUAGUUAGAUAUCCUCUACCUGUAUCCAUGGCUGUCUUUCAGUCACAUUACAGACUCAUUGUGAUGACCAUGUAGGGACAAUGUGAUUUCAGAAACAUGGCCUCAUUUGAUUUUAAUGUAAAUAUAAAUCAGUGAAGCAGAAAAAGAGAAUCUCCAGAAAAACAAGGGAUGAGGCUGUACAGCAAGUUAAAGUGGAAUCAGAACCCAACUGUAGUCCAUUAUUUGUUUCAAUCCUGCUCUUUUCUACCAUAUCACCCAGUUUCCAAAUCGUUCAGCAAAUUGCCAUGGUCAAUGGGAUUAACCUUUCCCUUUUAUUCUCAGGAAAUCUCCCUUGUCCAUUUUGCAAGACUGUGUGAUUCUUUCUACUGUUACAAGGAAUAAAAGCCUUCCUAAAAAGGUCUUUGGUGCCUUUAUUAUUUUACGGAUCAUUUCUGAGGGAAUUAUUGAACUUCAUUAUGUAACCACCCCUUGGGUUCACCUUGCCCACUGCCUAGACAGAGCCAAUUUAUCCAGACAGGAGAAUUGCAAUGGAGAAAGAGUAAUUC